rnacentral:rRNA from 1 species
AUACGUAGGGGGCGAGCGUUGUCCGGAAUGAUUGGGCGUAAAGGGCGCGUAGGCGGCCCGGUAAGUCUGGAGUGAAAGUCCUGCUUUUAAGGUGGGAAUUGCUUUGGAUACUGUCGGGCUUGAGUGCAGGAGAGGUAAGUGGAAUUCCCAGGGUAGCGGUGAAAUGCGUAGAGAUUGGGAGGAACACCAGUGGCGAAGGCGACUUACUGGACUGUAACUGACGCUGAGGCGCGAAAGUGUGGGGAGCAAACAGGAUUAGAUACCCUGGUAGUCCACACUGUAAACGAUGAAUGCUAGGUGUAGGGGGUAUCGACCCCUUCUGUGCCGCAGUUAACACAAUAAGCAUUCCGCCUGGGGAGUACGGCCGCAAGGUUGAAACUCAAAGGAAUUGACGGGG